rnacentral:tRNA from 1 species
GGAACUGUAGCUCAACGGUAGAGCUCUUGCUUGGCAGACAUGAGGUCCUAGGUUCAAUUCUCAGCGCAGCUA